CCAACACAAGUAAAAAAGGUCCAGUAGGGCAGUACACAAGUUAACUGCCAUAAUGACCAUGAGCAUUAAAAAAUAAAUAAAUAAUCACAUAAAAAAAAUUUAAAAACUGACACAUAAAAUUUUUUUAGACAUUAACUAAGUGAAUUCAGAUUCCUAAUAGCUACAGGAAUAAAGAAAUCCCUAGCUUGUCCGGUUCUCAAUUGAGGAAGCCUAAAACGAGGAAGACUAAAACGUCAGUGGUACUUUUAUUUUACCAUCACUACAUGUUUAAAGGAAUCUUUUAUUUUAUAAUGUCUUCAUAUGUAACUUUUUUUAUUAUUACUAAAAGGAAAAAAUGUUUCUGAAAAAGCCUCACAAAUACAGCUAGAGCUCUACUGGAGGGUUGAUGUUGAUCAAAUGUUCUGUAAUGUGUCACUUAGAUGAAUUCGGGUAGUGAUACAAGUUUCAAGUAACUCUGCCGAACACAUAUUUGACAUCUUUGUGUCGUUGUCACUCAGCUCUUUGUGACUGUUA